GUUAAGAUUAAUUAGAGUUAAUUAAUUAUUGAUCAAUGGAUAAUUAGUGUUAGGAUUAGCCUUAUCCAUAGGUUACGUAGGAAUCAAGGAUAUGCCUGUACGAAGGACAUCGUACUCCUUCCGAAGAGACACCGUCAAGGCCAAGACACCGAUUCGUAGAUUAGGCAGUUACGUUUACCGUAACAUAAAUACUUGUAAUACCUGUACACACGGUUCACUGAUCGAAUACAAUCGUCAUUCACUUUUCAUUCUUAAC
rnacentral:lncRNA from 1 species